GGUCUUGAAAGCCCAGUUUCCUCUAGAAGAGCAGUUUCCAAGUAGAAAUCGUGGCAUGACAUAUCACUGGUAUAAAUCCACUGAUCUUUGUGAAACCACACCUUCCACCUACCAGCCAUGCUAGGAGAAGGUGUGGAUCAUCAGUAUUUUCUCUUUCCAUUUCAGUUGUAGACUAAAACGAUCAACUCAGUGGUAGUCACCAGGCUAGCAGCACUGGUACAUAUUCAUGGGCACAUGGAAUUGCUUUGUCCAUGCAUUUCAGUCUGGUGUUCCCGACCAUACCAAGAAACAGACAAAACUGUAAGUGUGUGUGUGACUACCAUUUUUGCCCAGCAUAUCUUCUCCAAGCACACAAGCGAAGGAUUAGAGCAUUCUCCAUUUGCCUUGUUCAAGUGGACUGGGAAGUGGUCAAGUGAAUGGACAGUGGUGACAGGGACAAAGAGGAAGGCUGGCUAACUCAAAGAGAAGGUCCCACUAAGAACAUCUUAUCCAAGGGCCUCUUUCAAAACAUGGAGCUGACACUACACCUGUUGCCAUUUUGUGGACACCUCAAAUUUUCAGGAGCAGCUUCCUGCAUCUGGCUGUCACAAAUUUAAUAAAGAAAGAAUGAAAGGGGGGGAAAGAACUUCACUCUCCAGUAAGCCAUACAACAGGCUGCCACAUCAUCCUCAUGGUACCAUGACCACCCAUAGAUGUACAAGAGCAUCCUUAUCUGCUUCCAUGAAAUUUUGGAAGGCUUAACAUUUUGUAAGGUUACCGUAUCCACAUUUGCUUAAGAAACUUAAAAGUAUUAUUCAGAAUUCCUUAUUUAAACUGAUAAUGCAACAUUAUCUCCCACCCACUGAAAGAAGCUUUUAAAAUAAAUAUUCAUUUUAUUAAAUGAUUUCUGCUCCGCAUAUAUCAAUCAGCUAGGGUUUGAAUACAAAUAAUAAUUCUUUAUAAUUUUCAUUUAUAAUUACUAGCUCAGUGGCUGUAAAAAAAAUAAUUUUCGCAGUGCAAAUGAUAAAUAAAAUAUAGGCUUUCCUGCUUGAAAUCAAUACGUUAAGUUUAUUUCAUACAAAUACACAUAGAAAGUUCUCAUGACAGUCUGAAAAAAUAUAGAAUUGCCUGGAGAGGAUAUGAGUUUAUUGAAUUUUCUCACUUUACUGUUUCAUAGACUGUAUCCUAACCAGAUGGUAUAAUCUGAUUGCAUCAACUUAGAAGUAUAUAGGAUUUUAUUUUAAUGUUAAAAAGGUCACUGGCUUGGGAUCUUAAUUUCUUUCUGUCUUCUAUACUGCACUAGAAUUACAGUACUGAAGGUAAUGUAAGAUAACUUUAAUAAAAAAGAAGUUGAGUUUUAUAGACUUAAAUUUACUUAUUCAUUGCCUACCUAUACAGUUAAAUUCUGUAGGUGCUUUUUAAGUUACUACCGAAGCAAUAUAUAUCUUAUUGAAUGAUGGGUGAAAUUUGUAUUAAUGUAGUUGAUGUGGGUAUAAGAUUUCUGCAAAAGCAUUUUACAGUAUUCAGUGUUACAUUUCCAUCUCCCUCCCUCCCUCCCUCUCUCUCAUUCUCUCUCUCUAAGCAAAAAAACACACACAUUUCAGACCCCCUCCCCCGUUUAUUCUAGAAGUGAACAUUAUUUGACAUGUUCUGCUAACUUUUAAUCAGAUUCGUUUUACCCUUUCAUUCACAAAAAGUAUAGCCUAACCUUCACCCAUUAAAAUAGUUUGCUUAAAAAAAACCCCAGUGACAAAGUAAAUUUAAAAUUAAGCAAUCAAGACACUGAACUAUAGUGCAGAAAAGGCAGCCAAUAAAAUUGCAGAAUAAAUUGCAACUGGAAAAGACUUUUUCUUGUGUUGAGUGGGGCAUCUCCUGCUGGUCAAUCUGCCCUACCCACAGCUGCUCCUCACUAAAAAAGCCACAGCACCUGAGGGAUGGAAACCUUCUGGAACAAUACAGAAUAUGCCAAAGAAAGCUGAAGUGGGGCAGGUGGGAGCGUACUGAAAUUGGGUGUCCUAUGCACAUGGAAGGUUUUACCCCCACUAGCACAGAACCAGUAGUGGAUAUGACCCUCUGUAUAAGCAGAAGUCCCAGCUCACUCUCUACAAGUUAUAGCUGAAGUGGUUGAUGGGGUUCCCAUAGCAAAAAGGGCAACAGAGACAAAGGACAAUCCCUUGUGACUUGCAUGGUUUCAGCCUCUAAGGCUAUACAGAACAUAAUCUUAAUGGCUUGCCUCAAAAUAUAGAGAGGUACACAUCUAAGAGGAGUUCUAUCUCUUUUAUUUAGGGGUAAAAGCAUCAUUUGGAAUGUAGUGGGAGGAAAGAUGUAGUUUUUGGUUGGUUCAGUUUCAGGCAAGGCUUUUAAAGUACUGGUGACGAAGUCAAACCAACCUCGGAUUUGUACUGAUCUGCAAGUUGGAUGCUUCGUGUCAUUGUUGCCCAAAUUUGGGGGUUAUCCCUGAGUCUGUCAUAUUAGACAGAAGAGCAAAAGAGAUUUACAUCACCAAAGGAGGAUGAAGUUUACAGUCAUUUUCUGUAAUACAAUUGGGCUUAUUCAGUGCUUCUGCUAUAGAAGCGGUUCUACAAUAAUAAUGCUACUAUUAUAAUACAAUUUCUGUAAUAAUAGCACUUCUGUUAUAAAAUACCAUUAUUAUAGAAAUGCUAUUAUAAAGCAAGCAUGGUUGUUUAGUAUUUCUUCUGCAAUAAAGGUGCUAAAAAGUCUGUGUGUGUUAUAGAAAAUUAUUGCAAAUUUUUCUUGUCUGGCACUGAAGAUUUUUCAUGCUGAAUCUUGUCUGCUGCAGCCCCUGAAAAGCCGCUCUCAUACUUCACUGUGAUGUUUCUUUGAAUUACAGUAAACAUUGUGCAUUUAUAGCAGGAAAUUAUUGGACAGGCAAAAGGCAAAGCCCCCACCCACCCCUAUUCACUCUCUGCUUAUCUUAAUUCACCCUCUCUUUGAAAAUAUAUUUCAUAUUGGAAACAUUUGCAUAGGUUUAUCACAUUUGCAUAGUUCACCGUUAGUGCUUGGAAGGGGAAAAAUAAAACAAAAGAUCUCAUCUUUCCCUACUAUUUUGGUUCUAUGUGAGCAGCAUCCCCUUUAAUGGAUUCUAGUGACAUUACUUUAUUCAUACAUCUGCUUGUAAUUAUUCAGCAGUGACAGCAGAAGAAGCAGGGAAAGCCAUAGAAUACUUGGAAGACCUGAUCUAGCAAGAAGGAUCUGUGUGGAAAAGAUAGGUCUCUGGGUCACCUUUAACAUGGGUCCCAUGAAUGCAAAGGAGGCUGUCAUAUGUGCUGAGGACAAAAAUCCCAUGUUUGAGAGGUGCCCAUCAUACCUAACAUUUUCUUUUGGUAAGUACCCCCAAGGCAUUAGUGGGUGAAGGACACUUCUCCAACCACCUUUCAUUGGCAAACGGGUUGGCAGGUUCCUUAUUUUGUUCUUGGGACUUGACCUAUGCACCCAUAUCCACUGUACCCCUGUGCUAGGAGGGGGACGGGGAAAUUUCUCUCUUAUCAUCACCCACUGGUAGUGACAGAUCUCACCUGGGGUGGUGUCAGGGAACUGCCAUCGGAAGGAAGGGAGGUGAAAGGACUCAGACAGGUUGGAAGAGAUUCAGCAGCUGAAGAGGGAACCAGCAAGGGGAGAGAAGCUGAACUGAGGGAGGUGAAAGGGCUCAGACAGGUUGGAAGAGACUCAGCAGCGGAAGAGGAAACCAGCAGAGGGAGACAAGCUGAACUGUGGUAAUGCGAGCGGGCGGGAUGGCUCAGAGAUACUUCCAGCGAAAACAGUGGUGAGGUUUCCGGACCUCCUGUAGCGACACCCACUCCUCGCCGGAAACUGUCACGCAGAGAGUCCAGAAGACGUGUUUCCGUUAAGGAGCUUUAUGUUGGAAGCGAUUACGAAAGCAACCACUGUCGGAAUCUUCUAGUGACUAAGAGGAGCCAUGUCAGAGGGGCUCAGUCACAGACAGAGGUUUGUGGACUUGAACAAACUCUGAGGGAAUACGAUUUUACGCACAAGCAGCUCAUAAUCCCAUCACAGCAUUCCGACAGUCUUUGAACGCAGCUUGUGCAGGAGACGGCAUAAUAAUGAGCAACCCAGCAGGAACCGGAGAAGCAGGGGCUGGAGCGGGUCCAAGCCUGGAAGAAAGGUACCGGGUGUUAGAGGUCCAGCUGGCGCUGCAGACGGCGAGGCUGGAGGAGAGGAGGGCUCAAGAUGCAGACAAAGGGAGAAAGCCACCCAGCUCGCCAGAAAGGUACCAGGAUUGGUGCAAAAAUUUGGGGGGGAGCCCAAAGACUAUCAUAGCUUUCGGACAGAAAUGCAAUAUGCCCUCAAUCUGCAGUUUGAUGAUUUCCCUGAUGAGGAAUCACGAGUGGCUUUUGUGAUUGGGCAUCUUGAAAAGGGCGAGAGACUGGGUUAGACCCCUGAUGGCAGCGAAUAGUGACGUCUUAAAAGACACGAUGAAGUUCUUUCGCGCCAUGGAUCUGAUGUUUUCCAGCGAUAUUGAAAAGGGAGUGGUGCGCAGACAGUUAAUGGCUUGCAAACAGGGGAGCCGAUCUGUACGUGAGUACUGGACUGAGUUCACCAUGCUGAUACACAGAUUGGGGUGGGACUUAUCGGCGGAACCCAUUCAAAUGCUCUUUGAAGAAGGGCUUUCUUCGGCUGUGAAAGAUGAACUUUCCCGGGCGCCCAGGGCGGAGUCUAUGGACCAGCUGACCAAAUCAGCGCUGGCCAUAGGAGCGCGCCAGGAGGCGAGAGCAUUGGAGAGGCGGGAAGGGAAAGGGGAACGUUGGAAGGAGUUCCGCAUUCCAGACAUUCCAGAGCCAACUGUCCCGCCGGCAGAGCCGAUGGAAAUCGGAACAGCGCGCGCGCGCAGUUUCAAAGCCCAGUGAGGGGGAAAGAAGGAUGGAAAAGGCGCCCGGAAAUGCUAUCUCUGCCAACAGCCAGGGCACUUUGCCAGAGUCUGCCCCCAGAGGAAGGAAUGGCAAGGGAUGGUGGGAGCUGUGGAGGGAAGAGAGGAAAAAUACCGGAGCAACUAAAAGCCAACGCCUGGCUGCCAUUGUCGGGCACAGCAGCCAGGCCAAAGAGCAGUGAAAGUGCCCACUCCAGAACCUCCUAAACCCGCCCUAGUGAUAGAAGUGACACUAGAGCUCCCAAACGGACACCCUCUAAAGAUAAAGGCGCUGUUGGACUCAGGCAGCUCCUGCAAUUUCAUGAGCAAAGAGUUUGCAGCUGAACACCAGAUACAGACGCUCCCUUUAAGCAGCCCCCUGCAGGUAACCACGAUCGAUGGCAGGGAGCUGUUGGGAGGAGAAGUCAGCUUGCAGACCGUCCCAAUGAUAAUGAAGGUGGCAAGGCACACUGAACUGAUAGCUUUUAAUGUGGCCACCUUGGGAGGAGCUCCCAUUAUAUUGGGGAUGAGCUGGCUAGCGUUACAUGAUCCGCUGGUGGGCUGGCAUCAGAGAGUGGUUUCUUUUGGGUCAGCACAUUGCUUAGAACAUUGCAAAGAGGAAAGGUUUUGGCAGGGGCCCAAGCCACCCUAGCAGGGACUGAAGUGAAGGAGAACGUGAAGGUACCACGACAAUACGCAGAUCUCCGCGACGUCUUCAGCGAAAGGAAGCUGACCAACUACCACCGCAUAGAGCCUUUGACUGUCAAAUCAAUUUGCUCCCUGGGGCACAGCUCCCUGUGGGCAAGCUGUACGCCAUGUCAGACAGAGAGAUGCAGGAGCUAAGAGAGUUCAUUGACAAGAACCUGAAGAGAGGGUUCAUCAGAGAGUCCAGGGCGGUGGGGGGCAGCCCAGUGUUUUUGUGGACAAAAAAACACGAACAAGCCGAGACUGGUGUGUGACUUCAGGGCCUUAAAUGCAGUGUCAGAACCAGUGGCCUUCCCGAUGCCCAGGAUUGACGACAUUUUGACAAGGGUGCGAAAGGGAAAGAUUUUCACCAAGCUGGAUCUAUGGUUGGCGUACAACCUGAUACGAAUAAGGAAGGGGGAUGAAUGGAAAACCACCAUGUUCACCCCUUUAGGGGCAUUUGAAUACUUAGUUAUGCCCUUCGGUCUACAAGCAGGCUCCGCAACAUUUCAAUCGUUUAUGAACCACGUCCUGGGGCCGUUGCUUUACAAAGAAUUGUGUGGCCUUCGUAGAGCGUGUUAGUGCCUUCUGAGGUAAGAGGCAGCAUCACAGAAGCUGUCAGAGAAAGUGUUGGGCAGGCUGCAAAUGACAUGUGGUGGCUUCUAAAUGUAGUUUCCUUUCAAGAGUGGGUUCCUAGGAGUAUAGCCUGUCUGACAAGGGUUGGCCAUGGAUCCAGCAGGGAUGGUAGAGUGCACUGGAAUGGAAAACCCCCAAAGCAAGGAAGGGUCUUGAGUUUUAGGUUUAGACUUUGGUUUAGUCUUCCACCCACCCUGUGGCGCCCGUACAGACUGUCUCAGCAGUAAGAAGAGUUGUUUGGUAGGAAAGCGAACAGCAUUUGAGGAACUAAAGGGCCUUCGCCUCGGAACAACAGCUCCUGCAUGGAUUUACAGCAGUGAUGAAACUUAGCACAUGUGAACGAGCGGUUGGGGCGGUGCUUCUCCAGCCAGGGAAGGAGGAGUCAGAGUGGAACCGUAUUGCUUUUUUGCAGCUGAAUCCGAGAGAACUACACGGUGUAUGACAGAACUAUGUUGCGGCGUUAGGAGAUUGAGCACCUGCUAGUGGCGCACAGUAAGGUGCAGUGCACUGACCACAGAACCUAGAGUAUUGGAGGACGACAGUGCUCAGCCAACGGCAAGUGAGAUGGGCCAGGAAUUUCUCCAAAUUUAACUUUGAGAUUGUUACGUGCCAGGCCCAGAAGAGGCAGCUGAAAUGGAGUGCUCUCUAUAACCUAGAUGUAGGAGAAGGCUGAAGAAGAGGUAUAUCAUUCCAGAGGACCGCUGGGUGUGUGGGGCGGCAUUGGUGGGACAAAGAGAACUGGUAGAAGAGCAGAGGAAUGAUAGAUAUGGGAAUAAGCUCAGAGGUCUUAGGGAUGGGGAAGGGUCAAGGGUUUCGAGGAAAGAAAUGGAGCUUUGUAUUACAAAGGGGCACUGUAUAUCCCCUGAAGGAGACUUAGAGGAGGUACCUCAGCAGUUACAUGACCUUUGGCGGUGUUUUAGCUGCUAAGGGCUCAUGUGGUUGGUCACCAGGAAUUUUGGUGGCUAAGGUGAGGAGGAUGUACGUGAGUAUGUAGAGAAGUGCGAGCAGUGCCAGCGAGCCAAAGGGAAAGGCGAGCAGCAGCCUAUCAGGCCACCACAACACAGGCGACCUUGGAGACAAUUAUUGAUGUUUUAUGAAACUGAUCUGCAGUCCAAAGGAAAAACAGCCAUCAUGGUGAGUGGUGAACCUACUAACAAAGAUGUGCCACACUUCUUAGCUUGCUCGCAUGCAGUCAAUGGAGCAGAGACAGCGGGGGUUGUUGUAAGUUUGUUUUUAGGUUGCAGGGUGCCAUUGAGGUGGUCAGACCGGAAGCUCAAUUACUUUGGUUCUGGAAGAGCUCAUGAGCUUACUGCAGGUGGGGGUCACUUUUAAGAAGCUGCCACUUCCUGAAAAAUGUGAAACCAAUGAAAAACCAUGAUCUCUCAACUUAUUACACAGUUAUUAUCAAUGACAGAGAAUGACUGGGUAGAAAAGUUGGCUGGCGGAGAUUUGCUACAACAAUGCCGAGAAUGUGUCCACAGGGAUGAGCCCCUUCUUGGCUAAUUAUGGGUGUCAUCCCAGGGCUUUCCCAGGGGAGAAGGGAGAGAUGGAGAGCGUACCGGCAGCCAGGCAUUUUGUAGAAGAAAUGAAGCAAUCCACCGUCAGCUCAACUCAACUUAGAAAGAAGUGAAGGAAGAAUACAAGAGGCAGGCAAAUAAAAGCCGAGAGAAUUAUUAGAGCCAUAAGGGUUAGUGGAGGGUAGUGGCUGUGCUUGGGGGUUCUGAAUUCAAGAGUUGUCAUUACGACCCAGGAGGUUGGGUCCCUUUGAGGUCAUUCAACAGGUCAACCCAGUGACUCAGGCUCGGUUGCCCAGCCACAUGAAGAGCUGCACCCAGUAUUUCACAGGUGUUACUGUGUCACCGUACGAGGGGGGACGAGGAAGGGAUGGACACUCGAGGGACCGGUCAUAGAAGAAAGAGAAUGCAGCAGUCAUGUGGCAGAAAUCCUUGAUGCCAGGUGGAAGGGAAUCCAGGUGGAGUAUUUGGUAGCGUGGGAAGGAGGGCCGGGUCAGAAAGCACGUGGGUAAUGGCCAAAAAUAUCAAUAGCGAGGUAUUGAUAGAAAUGUUCCAUCAAAGGUUCCCGCGGAAACCUCAGCCUGUGGAGAGAGGUUCCGGAGAAUACUUUGGGACCACUGAGGAGGAGGAGGAGUUGGAAGGAUUCCAGUGUGGAAGGGAAGGGAAGAUGGGCUGGAGAGGAGAGUGCCAGAGGCCAAGCACCAGCAGGAGUGGAAGAAGUCUUCGAGGCCUUUGGAAGGGUAGAAAGGAAGUUCAUUCCCAGUUUGCCUCUCACCGCCCGUAGAGGAGGGCGAGAGGGGGUGAAGGGGGCCCCUGGAGGAGGUGGAUGUCAGGGAACUGCCAUGGAAGGAAGGGUAAAGGACUCAGGCAGAUUGGGGGAGAGUUAUGUGGAGAAGGCCAUGGGGAGAGAAGCUGAACUGAGGGAGGUGAAAGGGCUCAGACAGGUUGGAAGAGAUAGCAAUCGGAAGAGGAAACCAGCAAGAAACAAGCUGAACUGAAAGGGAGCUGAAGAGGAUGGCUCAGAUACCCAGCAAAAAGCAGUGAUGAGUUUCCGGAUAUAUUAGCCUUUAUCUCUUUGGGCAUCAUGAAAUUCAAAGCAAUCAUUUUAGUUUAAGGCUUUUUGUGUUGAGGCAAUUAAAGCAGCUUUUAACCAGAUCUUACAGUGACUAGAGGCCAUAUGAAACAAUCUGGACAGGGUUUGUGGACUGAGCAACUCUGAGGGAAUACAGUUUUUACUUCAACAGCUGUUUCCACCUGCCCAUACUAGGACAGUCUUUGGUUAUCUUGCUGCAGAUCUUCACGCUGUAUUCAAUAAAUACAACCUUAAAGCAAAAGUCUUGUCUUUCAAGACACCAUUCUGGGAGUGCAGGCAACUAAAAGUGCCCAAUGCAGUGUCCAAUGCAGCUGCAACCCUGUAAUUGUCUCUCAUCCCCUGAACUCUACAUGGAAGGUGGAAGGGAGAAGCUUAUGAGUUGCAGAAUGAGAUGUGGUCUGGGGACUGCUCUGUCUUUAAACCAUAACCCAGCUAUAGCAAAAUAGCUAGUUGUGGCAGUGAAUGUGUUUCAUUUCCUAAACUGGCAAUGCUUUCCAUAAGCUAAGGAUACAGCUCCCCCCCCCCUUUACAGGCAUUCUUAAUGUAGUCAAAGACCUGUAGAAUCAUGUAAUUACCACUGAUACAUGAAUUAAUGAUGUGUGCCCAUAAUUUUACUUUCUUGGAGAGGGCUGAUCACUUCUUUCUUGCUGAGGAAUGAGUAAUCAAUCAUGUCUUUCAUGUGAGAUUAUCAAGUCCAAUAAAAUAUUAUUGCUCUCUUGGGAUCAAAGUUAGAGCAUGUAGGUCUGAAGAGUUUGAAACAUGGCUAGCACUUCUGUGAUUUAUCCACAAUUGUAAAUAUUUUAUUAUCUACUGAUGACUCUUUAACACUAUAUAUUUGUAUUUUAAAAUUACAUAAACUGGUUCAGAACCCACACUUGGUUAGUAAUGAAUUUCUUUGUGGAUGGCCUUUCAUGGACAAUUGCCUUCUCCAUGGCCUGAACUAUAUUCGUGGUAAUUAAAUUAUUGCAGUAACUCAGAUCUUAUUGUCUUUGCCUUCAGUGUAACAUUAUUUUUGUGGUCUGGCAGAAGCUGAUCAAAUGACAGUUUCUUGAGUUUAGGCAAAGUGUUGAAACUCCCUCUUGUAUCUCUCGAAAAUCUUGAAUCUCUGCAGGGAGUUAAGAAAGAGUUCUUCCAUUUCUUCCACACUGCCUUGUCAUACAUUAAAAUCUGUGAUGUGUUGCUUUUAAAGAGGCCCUUCAACCUAUAUUUGGUGAAUGGGUUUGAUAAAUGCACCUCUGAUUCUUGAUAUUCUUCUUUGUCUUUUUGUCGCAAGGGUUGCAGUGCACUUUGUGAUCCUUGUGUUGUUGAAAUAUGGCAAAUAUUUUAGCAUUUAAGUCUAAAUAGACGUGCAUUUUUUUUUAGUCAAAGGGGCUUUUUUGUUUAUUGAUUUUUAGGACUUAAUACAAGGAAGCUAUAAAUUAAUUGCCUGCCUGAAAGCCACUUUAUACAAUCUUAAGUAAGCAAGAAAUAACACUUUUCCCAGGCAAAUAAUGUGGCCUCUCAAGCUUCUCUUUUAGUAUAACACUGAACACUGGGAUUUUACUGACUUCUUACCCCUAGGAUUUAGCUCCUGAGUUUCAAGUUCUUAUGAAUUUGGCUCCAAGCACACAGAGACCUUAUGGUGUCCGUAUUAGUUGGAGCUGUUUUAAUUAAAUUGUUAAACAAAUUGGUGUUCACCUACCCUCUCUUUGCACACCUGCCUAACUUGUGUUGAUGCUUAAGAGUGGAAGACCUGGAUCUGAGAGGCCUGGGUUCAAAUGUUGACUGAGUUAUGAACUCACUGAGGUGCUUGGAGUUUCAUGGCAUGUACAAUAGGGGUAAGAAACACCUCCUCAAAAGGUGUUGGGGGGAAUGAGCCGGAUAGAUUAUAAAUGUCUUUAAAUACUUUAUAUCAUAUAGGAAAUAUAACUAAAGUGUUGUGCCUGUUCAGCAAAGAGUUCUAUCUUUCCCCCAUGUGAAGCCAUGACAGAUGCCCUGAUGACUCUCAAAUGUAUUUCCCAAAAUCUGACCUUUCACUUUGUGCUCAAUUCAACAUCUCUAAUGUUUUUGCUGACAUUUCCCUCUGGAUGUUUCAAUGACAUGUCAAACUGAAUGCUGUGCAGAUGGACCUCCUGAUCUUAAACUCACCAACUUCACACACUUUUUUGUCACUGUCAGAGUUUCUGUUUAUCUCUCCUCCUACUCAUAGUGUUUUGGUCCUCCGACUCCCCUACUCUUCUCUUUGCAUUUUCAGCUUCAUUCCUUAUUUCAUGGAUUGAAGGAACCCAUAUCUUGCCAUUACAUCGGAACCAGCAAUUUAUGGCUUCUCCUUGCCCUCUGAGGCAGGAAUGCUGGCCUGCUACAAUCCUGGUUUGAAGGGAAGAGGUUUGCUAGUUCAAACCACUGAAGUAAAUCAGUGGAAUGCACAAGGAGCAAUGGAAGGAGUGAGCAAGCACAGGACUUGUUCAUGCGAAAGUUUGGCAUUAGGUGUGACUGUGGUUCCUAGUGAAGUGGUCCUAUGCAUUAGGCAUGCCAAAAGUACAUCUCCCUUUGCUUUUAUUUUAGUUUUAAGGGUGGUUAUUGAUGCCUGUAUUUAUAAAGCAGGGCAUUGUAUUAUAACAAAAAGUAACCACGACAAAUGCUCUUGAAGCACAAUGUUUUGAUUUGUUUAACUUUGUGGUUUUAGAGUGGGGAGUUACAUUUUGCUGACAUCUUGUCCUCUCCCUAACUGAAGUGUGGUUGACAUUCCCCAUAAGCGAAAUCUGAAAGGGUACCCAUGAUGCACAGCAAGCAGGAGAGGCAGUGGCAGAACUUUUGUAACUGCAGGAUCUUUGGGUGUGCUCUGAAAGUCAUAGUGAGAGACAAUGGCUUAGACUUUAAAAACAUGUUAAAUGAAGGAAGUUCAUGGAAGGAGUUUCCUGACCCCUCUUUCCUCUUGGAGCCACCUGCUCCAAAUGAUUACCAUGCCCCUCUGAAUUAUGUGGGUUAGGGUGUGGGGAGAUGCAAGAACAGGGAGAAAAGAAUCAAUUUAAACUAGGUGAUCUUGGGUGAUUCCCUCCUAUCCCAGCUGCAAUAAAUGUUCUGCUCCACAUUGUUCAGGGACUCCCUCCCCUAUGACCUCCAGGAAGGUUUUUUUGAGGCUGUAAUGGGGAUAAGAGAUCAGGAGACUUUCCAUCUGUGAUGAUAAUAAUCUGUGAACUUCCUUCAGUUAGCUUAUUUUAGGAUCCCUGUCAGUAUCUUAAUCCUUUUAUAAUGCUUUCCUUGCUGUACACUGCAGAGAGGAGAAGCCAGCUUAGGAACAAGCUAUGUAACGUGAUACCAUGCUGAGUGUAUACCACAAAGCAACAGAUGCUACAGAAGGCCCUUUCUGAAGUGUGUGGUAGCUUUUGAGACAUCAUGGGAUUGAACAGAACGCUGCCAAAAAGUCUUAAUGAUGUCACUCAAGAUGUCCCUGUAGGGAUGAUGGAAGAUCAAAUCAGCACAAAGCCUAGCGUGGAAAGAAAACCAGGUUUGCCUGAACUCUGAUGUCUCAGUAGUAGCAGAUCUUGUGCACAGUUUGAAUUAGGAAUUCCUUGUGCACACAUUCUGGCUCAUUUUUUUCUUAGCAUGGUGCUCCACAUCAUACAAAGAGGUGUGAAGUUAGAACCAUAACAGGGGUUUAUGGAAAUGCACCUUUGUUUACAGCACCACCCAAAAGCAGCUGCAAAGCCACUUUCUUUGAUGCCAUGCAAAUCCAUGGGAAUUUACUGAAACCAAACAUGACAUUCCCUUCACACGUGCACCUUUCUGCAUGGUGAGGAGUACCGUGUUGGGAGAAAACGUGGCCUAAACGCAUUUCCAAAGCUUCCUUGAGACAGUUGCCCCCGGCCUCUGUAAUUCCUAGACUGUUAACAUCCAGUUACUGUAGUUUUGUACAGGGCUGCCUACAGGCAAGCUGAGUUAUGCCUAACUGUUUGACAAAUCUUUGCUUGAUAAAUAGGGCAAGCUUACCUAAUCUAAGAGGGGAAGGUGCCCCCCCUCUCUUCAUGUAGUUUGAAAUGGUAACACCAAGGCUACAGCAGCUUUCUCUGUUAUUUCAGGCUUGACAAUAUGGCUAUCAUUCCUGACAGCUUGACAUGAUAUUAGCUAUUCCAAGUGUCAGAUGAGAAUAGCUGAUACGGUGGUGCACUAGUGUUGGAAAAUUAGAUGGGAAUCUCGUGUGUGUGUGUGUAUGUUUUAAAGCAGCUGCUUAAGUCUCUGAUUAGCUGGGUUUUUCUAUGCUGCUGUGUAAUUUAAGUGAGCUCUAGCCAACAUGCCUGAGGUGUUAAGAGGAUGAUGCAUUUCCUGUAGGCAUGAAUAGGCUCCUAACUAAAGCAGGAAAUCCUUACUGCCAUUUAUUAUUUUUCAAGGCAGGUUAUAUAUUUUUUGCUCUCUCAAAAGGAAGCAGUACCAAUUAGCCCGGAAGUUUAACCUCUUUUAACUUUGCUUCUUUUAUGGGAGCUUUCUAACCUUUUUUAAUAAAUCAUUUUCUUUCUUCUUCCCUUUUUUGUCUCUUCCUCGCAGAAUCAUUUCCUAAUGUUUCUCACGCUGGGUCCGAGGAGUAGGCUGCUUAAAUUUGAGAAUGAUUUUUGAGGGGAU